rnacentral:rRNA from 1 species
UACAGAGGGUGCAAGCGUUGUUCGGAAUUAUUGGGCGUAAAGGGCGCGUAGGCGGUGCGGUAAGUCUGUAGUGAAAUCUCUGGGCUCAACUCAGAGUCUGCUGCAGAAACUGCCGUGCUUGAGUGUGGGAGAGGUGAGUGGAAUUCCCGGUGUAGUGGUGGAAUGCGUAGAGAUCGGGAGGAACACCCGUGGCGAAGGCGGUGGCCUGGACCGAUGCUGACGCUGAGGCGCGAAAGCGUGGGGAGCGAUCCGG